UAGGGAAUAUUAGUAAUGGGCGAAAGCCUGAACUAGCAACACCGCGUGUGCGAAGAAGGCCUUCGGGUUGUAAAGCACUUUUUGAGAGGAAGAGGAAGGACGGUACUCUCAGAAUAAGUCUCGGCUAACUACGUGCCAGCAGCCGCGGUAACACGUAGGAGGCAAACGUUAUCCGGAUUUACUGGGCGUAAAGCGCGUGUAGGUGGUUUGGUAAGUAGAGCGUGAAAGCUCCUGGCUUAACUGGGAGAGGUCGUUCAAAACUGAUAGUCUCGAGAAUGGUAGAGGGAGGUGGAAUUCCGGGUGUAGCGGUGGAAUGCGCAGAUAUCCGGAGGAACACCAGUGGCGAAAGCGGCCUCCUGGACCAUUCCUGACACUCAGACGCGAAAGCUAGGGUAGCAAACG
rnacentral:rRNA from 1 species